UAGGGAAUCUUCGGCAAUGGACGAAAGUCUGACCGAGCAACGCCGCGUGAGUGAAGAAGGUUUUCGGAUCGUAAAACUCUGUUGUUAGAGAAGAACAAGGACGUUAGUAACUGAACGUCCCCUGACGGUAUCUAACCAGAAAGCCACGGCUAACUACGUGCCAGCAGCCGCGGUAAUACGUAGGUGGCAAGCGUUGUCCGGAUUUAUUGGGCGUAAAGCGAGCGCAGGCGGUUUCUUAAGUCUGAUGUGAAAGCCCCCGGCUCAACCGGGGAGGGUCAUUGGAAACUGGGAGACUUGAGUGCAGAAGAGGAGAGUGGAAUUCCAUGUGUAGCGAUGAAAUGCGUAGAUAUAUGGAGGAACACCAGUGGCGAAGGCGGCUCUCUGGUCUGUAACUGACGCUCAGGUGCGAAAGCGUGGGGAGCAAACAGG
rnacentral:rRNA from 1 species